GAGAGUGGGUUUUCCUUGAUCAGAGGGUGGGGGAGGUCAGGGCACUGAUGCCUCCAGCGGGAGCCAGAGAAGGACACAGCCCAAUCAUUUCUAAAUUGGGACUGGAGUGUUUAAGCUUAAGUUCGCUAGCAGAUGCUCCCAGACUGAUCUUAACUGCAGUGGCAGGCUAUAUGCUUAGAGGUAGUAUCUCACAUAGCAGGGCCCCACACAAUUCACAGCUUUGGAGAGAGCAACAGACACCUUGAAUUGCACCAGGAGCCAGCAGACUGCCAGUACAGAAACCUGAGCAAUGUUACAUAUUAAUGUUACAUAUUAAUGGGUGUUACAUAUUAAUGUCUGACUGCAUCCCUGGUAGUGAACAGGUUGGCUUUAUUUGCAUUUGCUGGCAAUAAUUACAAGAGUUGAAUCACACUAUAUGUGGUCAGAAUGCAGCUUUCAUCCAAGCAUGAGGUACUUGGAAAUGCAUGAGGCUUAACCAAACCAUUGCUAAACCUUCAUAUUGUGAUUCUUUGAUGGGUGCAGUUGCCUCACGGGUUGGCCUGACAAACACACUACCCUCCUAACAUUUGCUGGCUCUUGUGUUUGAAUGUAAGGUGUCAUUAUGGAGUAUUUUCAGACCACAUUCAAAAUAUAUAACUUGGUGGUGAGCAGAAAUCAAAUAUGAGGAAACAGUGUAAUCGAGGCUGGCUCCCACCCCACCUAAAUCCUUACCUUCUCCACCUCCUUCUCCAGCAGUGGGACCCUCUGGUAGAUCUGAGGAGCUAAACUCUCUUCAACUUUAGGACCCCAUACAUCAAGGACUUGGGUCGACAGAAAAAUGGAUCUGCACUUCAUUUGCCACUGCUUUGCCAGGUCUUGGGAGUACUACAAGCCUUAAGUGCCCCUGGAGAAUUUCCCUGUAGGUCUGUCCAAUCCUGAUAGAUCACCUAGGGAGAUGACAAACAAGAGGCCUAUUUAAAAUAUAACACUGGGCAAGGAGCUGUUAAUUGGUCAGCCCAAAAGAAGAGCUUCAAAUCAAAAAUGUAUCAUGAUUUGCUAUAAAUGCAUUAACAUGUAUAUACUAUAAACUUCUGUUUUUUCGAUCAAGCAAUACACAUAUUGGAAUUCAUCUCUUUAUAUUUUAAUAAGGUCAGCACGAAUCACCUUUCCUUAUUCUUACUGAGAUACACACGUCAGAUAAGAUAUAGUUUGUACUUUUUAGUUGCACCUCAUCUCUACCUUGGAGCUCAACUUUGCUUGGUGCAUGGCACUCAUUUACACCAAAGAUAGGCAUAAACAAAGCCCUGGCUCCAAAUGCUACUGAACUUUGGAGAAGCCUGGAUACAGAUCUAGUCCAAUAACUUGUGUUGGAAGAUAUGCUUUUGUCAAACACUAGUUACUGGAUGACUUAAUACAAUAACUUAAUACAAGAUGACUCAAUACAGUAACUGGCUGUAAUUUUGCAUCUUGUCUUAUGCAGGAAAUCAGACUAAAACCCCGUUUUUUAUUUUCAUUGUGGCUGCUCUAAUCAAGUAUUUCUUAAAUAAAUAGAUAUUUAAAGACCACACUUUGAAAUAUACAGUGGACACCUUAACCCUCCCAAAGAUUCACCUAAUUUAGGUCAGAUAGCAUAAUCUAGCUAAAAGAAGUUCAAAUAAAUGUUUCCAAUAUUUAACCAGUCUUCAUGAGAAUAAUGACAUUGAGAAGGAUUCAGGUGGGCUCAGAAUGUUGCUGUCUAUUUUUAUUGGAUACUUAUUAUUUGAUCACAAAUAUUUACAUAUUCCCAAAUAUUUGCCUGUUAGCCCUGAACUGUUUCAGGUUCUCUCCUUUUCUUCCCGCUCCAGUCCUGAUGUUGGCUGCAGGUAGAGCAGGGCAGGGCUAGCUGGACCCACGGGCUCUCUUUAACCCUUUCUCUGCUGGUGUGGGGUUUCUCUGCUCUGUCACAGCAUGUUUCAUGUCUGUUGAAUCAACAUUUUCCAGUGAAAAACUGUUUUCUAGGAAAAUUUUCGAUCCAUUCUAAUCAUUCCAUUCUGUCAAUUAUUUCUUCCAGGUCACCAUCAGAUCUACUAAGCAGUAGGUAUAGAAUAGAUGAAAUACCAUUAAAAGGUAUUUUAUUGGUUGAAUGUUAUCAUUAUUCCCAAAGUAUGUGGUUAGUAUGCAUGGCUCCAGGACUGUUCUCAAGAUAGUUGUACAUGCCUGAUAAUAUUCUCCUUGUAUUGCUGUAUCAGUAAUUAGCAAAAGCUGUCCAAGGGCACAGAGACUUGCCCUUGAGUUUGCUGUUGUCCAUAGAAGAACUUGGCUUUCAAAUACUGUUUGCAUCAGAAAGGGCAGAGUUGAUUCUGAGCUGAGGUUUAGUGCUGAGUCAGAGGUUUUGGAAAUGAGUGAUUUCAGGACUACAGAAGAGCAGCAUUUGUACUGAAAUGAGACCUUUUUAAGGUGGAACUCUCAAAACUGCACCAUGAAAAUGUAACUCUUUUAAUUAAGCGUAAAAAACCUCAAGUCUCAUGCAUCCCUGUUGUAGCCUUUAAAAUGGGCGUUCUUUUCUGCAAUGCUCCCUAAGCCCAGGCUAUCCUUAGCAAGGGUUCCCCUCCUCCUCUGUGCUUCCUAGAGCCCUGUGACUCUGCCACCCCCACAACUGCAUCCCAGGUUGAAAAACAGGGACAUUUCUUGCAAACAUGUUUGCAAAUAAUUUGUCCCUGUUUUUUAUUUCAAAAUUCCAUAUUUUUCAUCCCCUCCAAUUCUGAGUCUUCCUGCAGCUCGAUGAAUAUUCACUUUUUUGUGCAUGUCAAAAGGAGGCACAGAAGUAGGAAAUGACCAUGGGCUAACUAACUGAAAGAACUGCUCUGUGGCAAAAUGCUAGAGUUUUGCUGAGACAUCACUGCAGGAGAAGCAGGGAAAUCAGACCAGCUGGGAGGACAUGUGAUAAUGAGAACACUUAACACAAAGAAUUGUUUGCUUAUGAAACCUUGCUUAUGACCUGGUGCUAAAUCAUUAUCAGGGAUCACACCCUUCCUCCUGCUCCAUAUACAUUGUAAUUAGAUUAAAGAUUUACUUUGGGGCGAAGCCAAUUGUUGUCUUUUGUUCUUUAAAAACCACAAACAAUAUGAAGAAACCACAUGGGCACAGUGUGGUCCCAAAUAAAUAUGUUUAUUAUAUAUACACAGAAAUGUGUACUACAUACCUACUGCUACUCUGACAAGUUUGUGGUGGCUCUGUAACAUAGACCAUGUAAGCCCCACUAGUGGUCUCACAAACUAUUUAAAGAGGCCUGUGCUCUUUUCCUAUGAAAUACAUUGGCACCUUGCUGUUAUUCUUCAGAGUACUACAAAGACUUCAUUCCAUCUGCUUUUAAGUCCAUGAACAGAAAUCCUACUCUCACGUACACCACUGUAGAUCUGAAAUAACUCCAUUAGACUCAAUGGAGUAACACCAGUCUAAAACUAGAGUGAAAGUCAGAAUCAGCACCCCAGUUCUAUAACUAUAACAAAAGUGGUCCAGGUGCAACUCCUGAAGUCCCUGCUUUGGUUUCAGUUCAUUGUUUCACACACUGGGUUUAACCCAACCCUAUUAUAUGACAUUGUGUCGUUCCUCUUUACAAAACAUUACAAAUAUGGGAAUAACCACACAGGCACAGUUAGAGUCCAAUUGUUUAUUACCUAUGCACAAAUACAGAAGACCGAGCUACAUAUGUACACUGCAGCUUUGGCAGGGCAUAGCUACUCCAACAGGGGACUAGAGGGCUCCCAACUAUUUACACUUAUUGACUUGAAGUGCAGCCAAUGGCUUGAACAACGAGGAGACCUUGUGGCACCUUAGAGACUAACAAAUUUAUUUGGGCAUAAGCUAUCGUGGGCUAAAACCCACUUCAUCAGAUGCAUGGAGGGGAACAUACAGUAGGGAGGUAUAAAUACACAGCAUAUGAAAAAAGGGACUUGCCUUACCAAGUGGAAGGUCACUGACUUGAGUACACUCACAGUUUGUUCUUAAAAAGAAGAGACCAAAUAACUGAACUUAGCUACACUGUUUGUCUAAAGACAAAAUAGUACUAUAUGAAAAGGAGAUAACAUGUACCCUCCAUCCAGGAAGCAAAUUUUCACAGAUUGUUCCUCUUACACUGAAGGUAUGCUUCAAAGAUACACAUUUUAGCUAGUAAUAUUUAUAAGAUGAUUUUACAAGUUACAAAACUUUUUAUGCUUCAUUAAAAUCCAACCCACCAGUUUGUAUAAGUUCCUUAACUUGGUGUUCUGGACCAUCCUUAUCUUUGUUUUGGAUACUAGCAUUUUAGCUACUGGUCUGCGAAGGUACAUCCCUAUACUUUUACAUAUCUUAUUCUGAAUACUACAUCCCACUUGAAAGUACUCCACAACUGUACUUGGUACAAAGUAUUUAUGCAUCUUUGCUUUAACAAGGUUCCUAUUUUCCAAAGUGUUGAAGGAUGCUUCACAUGGGUAAACAGAGUUGUGAAGAAAGCAUAAAAUAUUCAUUUAAUAUAACUUCCCAACCCAUAUAUAGAAUGUAUAUUAUAUUAAUACCAUGCACAUAAUACCUAUUAAUGUUGUGUAUACUACACCUAACAUAUAUGUACUGACUAAUACACUUAAUGUAUUCAAAAGUCCACACCAACAGCUUUAAAGUUUCAUCAUGACUUUAAAGUUUGUAGACUUUUUUUGUAUAUAUUUUUAGUUUAAUUUGAAUUUUGUUGCAAAUUUUAAAAAAGUUAAUUUUAUUAACUCUCCCUCAGGCUUCAUUUUAAGAGAGUCGCUUCUGCCCCUCCUCAAGCUGCCUUUUCAGCAUUUCAGCAUGUCCCACUACAUUUAAUUGGUACUGUGAUUUUAGAUUAAACGUGUUAAUUUGCUAUUUAACCUUCCAGCUGCAAGCACAUUAACUGAGACAAAGCAGCUUGCCCUUGAAACAUACAGAGCCUCAUUAAAGGCUUGAUCUUGAGCACCUGGAACUCCCAUUGGUGUCCUUGGAUUAGGAAGUGCUAUACUGGAUCAGUCCAUCUACUCCUACAUCCUAUCACCCAGAAACCAAUACAAGAUGCUCCAGAAGAAGAUGCAAGAAACUCCAUAAUACAGCAUGAUGGUAUGACCUGCCCACAGGGAAACUUUAUUCCUGACUCCCAUCUGUUAUUGGAUGGGUUACAUCUUGACUCAUAAUUGCAUAUAUCCCUUGUAUUUUUAAAAAAAUCAAAUGUUAUGUAACAGUGGAUGUUCUCAAAGGGUGAAAUUCCCUGCUGCACAUGGGGCCUACACAAGUGCUUAAGUGAUGAAUAACUCUUGUGCUUGUCAUAUGCACAGGGGUGAUUGUCACCCAUUGGGAGUUCCACAUGCUAAGUUCCUCUAGGCACCAGGCCAUAAAUAAGAGCCAUCGACAGUGCUGUGGCUGGUUGUGCUGCUGUUCAUGCUAUGAGAACACUUUUCUUGAAUCCUUUCAGCCAUAGCUUUGGAGGCCUCUGGUGGAAUGUACACUACACAACAACAGCCUCUGCUUGCCCUGCUUUCGUCUAGAUUAUAAGAAUGAGUUCUGGUUAAAUUAGCAGACUCAGAAAGUUGGAGUAGAAGAAUGUAUGAAGAGAGGCAAUAUGUAAAAGAACCAAAGGUGAUAUGUGCAUUGUACAACUUCUGCACAAACUCAAGGUGCACUCUUAAAAUAUUGCAUUAAGGAUCUGAUUCUCCCUAAUCCUUACUCCGGUUUUACUGAUUGUAAUGGGAGUGUUGCCUUUCUCGGAAUAAUAAACUGGAGUAUAUGAUAUUUCCAAUCUCUAGCAAAGACAUAAUUAUUAAUAAUUAUUAUGAGUCCCUGUGAGAGCUGACAUCAGACCCACAUCUCAUGGAGCUCGGAUGAGCUCGAGGAUGGUUCAGGAAUCUUUGUUUGACCAGAGGUCUCUGUUGGGUUUCUAUGAUGUUGAUCAAUUAGGAGGUUUUGAAUGUGAACCAUUAUGACCCAGCAGGUCAAUGUGUUGGUCUGUAUUCUAUCCCAGGUGAGUGAAGAAUGAGUGGUCUAGAGGAGAUAUGGGCAGGUCAAAGUUAGGGCAAUGGAGUUGAGAGAAACUCAUCAUUCUCCCACAGCCUUCGAAGGGAAAAUGUAUUAUCUCUUCCCUAAAGCCCUCUUCAGAACAAGGAAUCUCCUUUAAAGGGGAUCCCAUGAGGAGCUGUGGCUUCUUUCCUCCCAUCAAGACUUGUGCCAAGCAAUGUUUGGCCAGUUUGGAGAGUCUGGCCCACCAAGAGAAAGGGACAAGAAUGUGGCCUAGUGGUCUGAGAUCAGGACUGAGAGUCAGGAACUCCAAUCUCUAAUCCUGGCCUGUCAGAGUCCUUGGGCCUUAUUAUCUACUCUGGAGUAACUCCAGUGAAGUCAAUGGUGUAAAAUUGGUGUGAGGGAAUGGACAAUCCACGCCUUAUCUGUAAAAUGGGAAUACAAACACUUACCUGUCUACCUCAGAGGUAUUGUCAUUAAUUAUUUUUUAUAAACUCUCUUACAGAUGAAAUGCUAAGUACACAUGCACAUAAACGCUGCUGUUACUUUCAUGAACUGUGAGAGUGGCUACUGACUUUUAAAAGUUCUGUGCAUUGCUAGAGAUUCUGCCAUUAAUUAUUAGGUUUUACUUAUGUGUAGUGGAGUAGCACCUAGAGGCAUCAGUGAAGGAUCAGUGCUUUAUUAUGCCAAACACUGAACAGACAUGCAGUAAAAAGUUCCUGGCCCAGAGAGCUCACGGUUCAGAUUAUGACAAGAUGCAAAGUGUUAAUGAAUCAAACAACUGGGAGACGGGGCAGAAAAGUGGACAAGGAGCAGUAAAAUAAGGAAGUUACCAUACAAUAAGCAGAGACCACUGCUUAUCACCUGCCUUUUAUAUCACUGCCUUGUCAAUGUUCCAAUUAUUUGAUUAGACACACUCCAUUAAGAAGGAAACAAACACAGAAUGGCCAAACAAUUACCUCAUAUUAAUGGCUGGAGGGAAGUCUCUGAGAACAAACAUGUCCCAUUCCCAUAAAUCCUGAGGGAAAAGCAUUUGUGGAGAAAAGUUCAAUUCAGCACUAAUGUGAAUCACAGUUGCUAUAGACUUUUUGUUUUUUCACAAUACAAAAAAAAAAUUGACCUCAAAUUCACUGCUGUAUUUAGACAAACCAUUAUGAAUUGUUCUGAAUAAAUUUCAUGUCCUGCUGUUGUUACAAUUCUUCUCCUCAGCACUCUUGCCAUUCAUAGGCUUCAGUCCUGAAGUCCAAAUAAAGACAAUGGAUUACCCAAAUGAUUAAAGGUUGCAGGAUAAAUCCCCUACUGGAAAAAAAUGUCUCUGAAAUCCCUGUAAUUUUCUGUAAAGUACCUAAAUGGCUUUGCUGUAAUCUGGCACACACUACCAGGCACUGUGGUGCGCCAUUUCACUGCAAUUUCAGGAAGCAGAGAGAAACUGUUUUUAGGAGCUUUGGGAGUAGCCGAAAGGACUAUUUUGGUGGACGGGCUAAAUAUGUGGAGUGGUAAAGUGGUAUACCAUUCCACGGGCAAGCUUGUGUGUGAGGGAGAGAAACCAUGCAAUGCAAAAGGAAAAUCCUAGAAUUUCUAAGGGAUUUGGCCUUUGUUACUGAAUUCUAUAAGGAGGCCUCUAAUUUUGGGUGCUCAACUUGACAUGUUAACUUUUAAUAUGAUAAUGAUACACUCUGUGUAUGCUAGUUCUUUUCUAAUGCUUAGAACACCUUGUCUUUAUUUGAUUACUAUGAGUACAGACAGAACAGUUUUUUAUACACAGUAACCUUCCUUCCCCUUCUCUCUCCUGUUUUUUAAUGUUUAAUGUU